GACGAACGCUGGCGGCGUGCUUAACACAUGCAAGUCGAACGAAGUGGCGAACGGGUGAGUAACGCGUAAUCAACCUGCCCUUCAGAGGGGGACACCAGUUGGAAACGACUGCUAAUACCGCAUACUGAAGGAGGGGAUUGUGUCUGCUUAGCUAGUUGGAGGGGUAACGGCCCACCAAGACGAUGAUCAGUAGCCGGGCUGAUAUGAUGAACGGCCACAUUGGGACUGAGACACGGCCCAGACUCCUACGGGAGGCAGCAGUGGGGAAUCUUCCGCAAUGGACGAAAGUCUGACCGAGCAACGCCGCGUGAGUGAAGAAGGUUUUCGGAUCGUAAAACUCUGUUGUUAGAGAAGCGGUAUCUAACCAGAAAGCCACGGCUAACUACGUGCCAGCCGCCGCGGUAAUAC
rnacentral:rRNA from 1 species